ensembl:misc_RNA 7SK 7SK RNA
CGAUGUGAGGGUGAUUUGGCUUCCACACCUGUCACCCCAACUGAUCGCCAGGGUUGAUUCGGCUCCUCUGGCUGGCUAGGAUGGUGUCCCCUUCCUUCCUCACCGCUCCAUGUGCGACCGUCCUGAAGCUGUGCACCCAGCUGAAGAGGAAGACCUUCCCUGAAUAGAGGAGGACUGGGCUUAGGUCAAGGGUAUAUGAGUAGCUGCAUUUUCCUGCUAGAACUUCCAAAAAAGCUUUGGAAAUAGUGAAGUUUUGCAACUGAUCACAAGGAACGUGGGGCUCUAAAAGACAGCAGCUGUCAGU